rnacentral:rRNA from 1 species
CGGGAGGCAGCAGUGGGGAAUUUUGGACAAUGGGGGCAACCCUGAUCCAGCCAUGCCGCGUGCGGGAAGAAGGCCCUCGGGUUGUAAACCGCUUUCAGAUGGAAAGAAAUGGUGUAGGUUAAUAACCUGCAUUGAUGACGGUACCAUCAGAAGAAGCACCGGCUAACUACGUGCCAGCAGCCGCGGUAAUACGUAGGGUGCGAGCGUUAAUCGGAAUUACUGGGCGUAAAGCGUGCGCAGGCGGUUCUUUAAGACAGGUGUGAAAUCCCCGGGCUUAACCUGGGAAUUGCGCUUGUGACUGGAGGGCUAGAGUGUGGCAGAGGGGAAUGGAAUUCCUGGUGUAGCAGUGAAAUGCGUAGAUAUCAGGAGGAACACCGAUGGCGAAGGCAGCCCCCUGGGAUAACACUGACGCUCAUGCACGAAAGCGUGGGGAGCAAACAGGAUUAGAUACCCUGGUAGUCCACGCCGUAAACGAUGUCUACUUGGAGGUUGUGGCCUUGAGCCGUGGCUUUCGGAGCUAACGCGUUAAGUAGACCGCCUGGGGAGUACGGUCGCAAGAUUAAAACUCAAAUGAAUUG